rnacentral:rRNA from 1 species
AUGAACGCUGGCGGCUUGCCUAAUCCAUGCAAGUCGAGCGAACAGACGAGGAGCUUGCUCCUCUAACGUUAGCGGCGGACGGGUGAGUAACACGUGGAUAACCUACCUAUAAGACUGGGAUAACUUCGGGAAACCGGAGCUAAUACCGGAUAAUAUAUUGAACCGCAUGGUUCAAUAGUGAAAGACGGUUUUGCUGUCACUUAUAGAUGGAUCCGCGCCGCAUUAGCUAGUUGGUAAGGUAACAGCUUACCAAGGCAACGAUGCGUAGCCGACCUGAGAGGGUGAUCGGCCACACUGGAACUGAGACACGGUCCAGACUCCUACGGGAGGCAGCAGUAGGGAAUCUUCCGCAAUGGGCGAAAGCCUGACGGAGCAACGCCGCGUGAGUGAUGAAGGUCUUCGGAUCGUAAAACUCUGUUAUUAGGGAAGAACAAAUGUGUAAGUAACUAUGCACGUCUUGACGGUACCUAAUCAGAAAGCCACGGCUAACUACGUG